rfam:Picea glauca, whole genome shotgun sequence.
GCAAAAGCCCUAUUUAGGGCUACAGAAAAGUCUGUUGUCAAAUUCAU